UGGGGAAUAUUGGACAAUGGGGGCAACCCUGAUCCAGCAAUGCCGCGUGUGUGAAGAAGGUCUUCGGAUUGUAAAGCACUUUCGACGGGGACGAUGAUGACGGUACCCGUAGAAGAAGCCCCGGCUAACUUCGUGCCAGCAGCCGCGGUAAUACGAAGGGGGCUAGCGUUGCUCGGAAUGACUGGGCGUAAAGGGCGUGUAGGCGGUUUACACAGUCAGAUGUGAAAUCCCCGGGCUUAACCUGGGAGCUGCAUUUGAUACGUGUAGACUAGAGUGUGAGAGAGGGUUGUGGAAUUCCCAGUGUAGAGGUGAAAUUCGUAGAUAUUGGGAAGAACACCGGUGGCGAAGGCGGCAACCUGGCUCAUGACUGACGCUGAGGCGCGAAAGCGUGGGGAGCAAACAGGAUUAGAUACCCUGGUAGUCCACGCUGUAAACGAUGUGUGCUAGAUGUUGGGUAACUUU
rnacentral:rRNA from 1 species